UGAGGAGGCUUUUCCACAGUACGAGAGGACCUGGAAGAAGAAAUCCCUGGUGUACCGGUUGUCCUAAAAGGGCACCGCCGGGUAGCUAUAUUUCUACUCGAUAAGCACUGAAUGCAUAUCAAGUGCGAAGCGAACUCCAAGAUGAGAAUUCCUUACAGCUUCCCUGAAGAUUACAGGGUAAUAGGCGUUAGGUGUAAGUUCUGCAAAGAAUUUAGCCAAGACGUACUAAGUAGCGAUCUCCCAUCAUU
rfam:Candidatus Roizmanbacteria bacterium RIFCSPHIGHO2_01_FTLL_39_8 rifcsphigho2_01_scaffold_25627, whole genome shotgun sequence.